rnacentral:rRNA from 1 species
CAAACGACUCUCGGCAACGGAUAUCUYGGCUCACGCAUCGAUGAAGAACGUAGCAAAAUGCGAUACUUGGUGUGAAUUGCAGAAUCCCGUGAACCAUCGAGUUUUUGAACGCAAGUUGCGCCCAAAGCCUUUCGGCCGAGGGCACGUCUGCCUGGGCGUCAAAC